rnacentral:rRNA from 1 species
GACGAACGCUGGCGGCGUGCCUAAUACAUGCAGGUUGAGCGCUGAAGGUUGGUACUUGUACCAACUGGAUGAGCAGCGAACGGGUGAGUAACGCGUGGGGAAUCUGCCUUUGAGCGGGGGACAACAUUUGGAAACGAAUGCUAAUACCGCAUAAAAACUUUAAACACAAGUUUUAAGUUUGAAAGAUGCAAUUGCAUCACUCAAAGAUGAUCCCGCGUUGUAUUAGCUAGUUGGUGAGGUAAAGGCUCACCAAGGCGAUGAUACAUAGCCGACCUGAGAGGGUGAUCGGCCACAUUUGGACUGAGACACGGCCCAAACUCCUACGGGAGGCAGCAGUAGGGAAACUUCGGCAAUGGACGAAAGUCUUACCGAGCAACGCCGCGUGAGUGAAGAAGGUUUUCGGAUCGUAAAACUCUGUUGGUAGAGAAGAACGUUGGUGAGAGUGGAAAGCUCAUCAAGUGACGGUAACUACCCAGAAAGGGACGGCUAACUACGUG